UGGGAACACAGUGUGCCCAGUGGUGGCAGAGUACAGUGGGGACACAGCAGUGAUGGCACCAUGUGAGCAAAGCCCCUGCGUGCAACCCCUUGGCAGCACAAGCCAGCACAACCCCCAGCACAGCCCUAUCUGCCCCCCUUACCCUGCACCCCUAUGUCCCCGCAGACGGCACCCCCCUUAGCGAGCUCUCCUGGUCCUCCUCGCUGGCUGUCGUGGCCGUUUCCUUCUCUGGGCUCUUCACCUUCAUCUUCCUCAUGUUGGCCUGCCUGUGCUGCAAGAAGGGAGAUAUCGGCUUCAAGGAGUUUGAGAACGCCGAGGGGGACGACUACGUGACGGAGUUCUCGGCCCAGGGCUCGCCCGCCCCGCAGCAUGGCCCCGAGGUGUACGUCCUGCCCCUCACCGAGGUCUCGCUGCCCAUGGCCAAGCAGCCGGGGCGCUCAG
rnacentral:lncRNA from 1 species